rnacentral:rRNA from 1 species
GACGAACGCUGGCGGCGUGCCUAAUACAUGCAAGUCGAACGCAGUGGGGACGGGUGAGUAACAAGUGGGUAACCUCCCAUCAGAGGGGAUAACACUUGGAAACAGGUGCUAAAAACGAUACUGAUGGAUGAAGCCGCGGUGCAUUAGCUAGUUGGGGGGGUAACGGCUCACCAAGGCCACGAGGCAUAGCAGAGCUGAGAGGGUGAUCUGCCACACUGGGACUGAGACACGGUCCAGACUCCUACGGGAGGCAGCAGUAGGGAAUCUUCGGCAAUGGACGCAAGUCUGACCGAGCCACGCCGCGUGAGUGAAGAAGGUUUUCGGAUCGUAAAACUCUGUUGUUAGAGAAGCGGUAUCUAACCAGAAAGCCACGGCUAACUACGUGCCAGCAGCCGCGGUAAUAC